rnacentral:rRNA from 1 species
GAAUCAACGCUGGCGGCGUGCCUAAUACAUGCAAGUCGAGCGGACCCUUCGGGGUCAGCGGCGGACGGGUGAGUAACACGUGGGCAAUCUAUCUCAUUGACCGGAAUAACGCCUGGAAACGGGUGCUAAUGCCGGAUAGGCAGCAGGGAGGCAUCUCCCGGCUGGGAAAGGCGCUUCGGCGUCACAAAGAGAGGAGCCCGCGGCGCAUUAGCUAGUUGGUGAGGUAACGGCCCACCAAGGCCACGAUGCGUAGCCGACCUGAGAGGGUGACCGGCCACACUGGGACUGAGACACGGCCCAGACUCCUACGGGAGGCAGCAGUAGGGAAUCUUCCGCAAUGGGCGAAAGCCUGACGGAGCAACGCCGCGUGAGCGAUGAAGGCCUUCGGGUUGUAAAGCUCAGUCACCCGGGAAGAGCGGUUGGGAGAGGAAAUGCUCCCAACGAGACGGUACCGGGAGAGGAAGCCCCGGCUAACUACGUGCCAGCAGCCGCGGUAAUACGUAGGGGGCAAGCGUUGUCCGGAAUCACUGGGCGUAAAGCGUGCGCAGGUGGUUGUGCAAGUCUGAGGUGAAAGUCCAGAGCUCAACUCUGGGAUUUCCCUUGGAAACUGUGCGACUUGAGUACUGGGAGAGGCAAGGGGGAAUUCCCGCGUGUAGCGGUGAAAAUGCGUAAAUA